CCUACGGGUGGCUGCAGUGGGGAAUAUUGGACAAUGGGCGAAAGCCUGAUCCAGCCAUGCCGCGUGUGUGAAGAAGGCCUUCGGGUUGUAAAGCACUUUCAGCGGGGAAGAAAGCCUUAGGGCUAAUACCCUCUAGUAAGGACAUCACCCACAGAAGAAGCACCGGCUAACUCCGUGCCAGCAGCCGCGGUAAUACGGAGGGUGCGAGCGUUAAUCGGAAUUACUGGGCGUAAAGCGCGCGUAGGCGGUCUGAUAAGCCGGUUGUGAAAGCCCCGGGCUCAACCUGGGAACGGCAUCCGGAACUGUCAGGCUAGAGUGCAGGAGAGGAAGGUAGAAUUCCCGGUGUAGCGGUGAAAUGCGUAGAGAUCGGGAGGAAUACCAGUGGCGAAGGCGGCCUUCUGGACUGACACUGACGCUGAGGUGCGAAAGCGUGGGUAGCAAACAGGAUUAGAUACCCGGGUAGUC
rnacentral:rRNA from 1 species